ACAGCAGUAGCCGCGGGAAUACAGAGGGUGCGAGCGUUAAUCGGAUUUACUGGGCGUAAAGCGUGCGUAGGCGGCUUCUUAAGUCGGAUGUGAAAUCUCUGAGCUUAACUUAGGAAUUGCAUUCGAUACUGGGAAGCUAGAGUAUGGGAGAGGAUGGUAGAAUUCCAGGUGUAGCGGUGAAAUGCGUAGAGAUCUGGAGGAAUACCGAUGGCGAAGGCAGCCAUCUGGCCUAAUACUGACGCUGAGGUACGAAAGCAUGGGGAGCAAACAGGAUUAGAUACCCCCGUAGUCCCUGUCUCUUAUAC
rnacentral:rRNA from 1 species